rnacentral:miRNA from 1 species
ACUCACGGCGCUGGGACGGCGGCU